rnacentral:rRNA from 1 species
AACGAACGCUGGCGGCGUGCCUAACACAUGCAAGUCGAACGAGAAAGGGGCUUCGGCUCCGAGUAAAGUGGCGCACGGGUGAGUAACACAUGGGUAACCUGCCUCUAAGAUUGGGAUAACUCGUCGAAAGAUGAGCUAAUACCGAAUAAGACCACAGUUCCCGCGGGAACAGGGGUCAAAGGUAGCCUCUGCUUGCAAGCUAUCACUUAGAGAUGGGCCUGCGCACCAUUAGCUAGUUGGUAGGGUAACGGCCUACCAAGGCAAAGAUGGUUAGCUGGUCUGAGAGGAUGAUCAGCCACACUGGAACUGAGACACGGUCCAGACUCCUACGGGAGGCAGCAGUGGGGAAUAUUGCGCAAUGGGCGAAAGCUUGACGCAGCAACGCCGCGUGAGUGAUGAAGGCCUUCGGGUCGUAAAGCUCUGUCGGGAGGAACGAAUGCUCCUGAGGUUAACAGCCUCGGGAGGUGACGGUACCUUCAAAGGAAGCACCGGCUAACUCUGUG